UCCAGAAAAACACAAAGCUCUUCACUCAUCUCUUGCCUAGUUUCUUUCACGCUAGAUUCCUCCUAGAGGCACCAUCCAUUCUCAAACCUUUACAUCCUUUUAUUGUACCGUACAAUCCCAAACCUCCUCACCCUUCUAAAACAAAAAGCUCUCCACUUUCAGACAACACACGAUGGUUUCCUUCGCACUGGUUUUGACCCAGCGUUGUCAUUACUUUAACUGUUGAGUGCAGGGAUAUCAUGAAGGUCUGAUGGGUGUGUUUAAUCUUUGACACGUUGUUGGCUAGAGAUGCGCGAGGUUCUGUAUCGUCUAUAUGAUAGAGGCGUUUGGUGACGUGUGCCCAACCCCUAAAUCUUUUUAGUUGUGUAUUAAUGAGUUGCCUUGAUUUCCGAUACACCAUUGGAUCAUACUUAAGUGUUUUUUGUACGGCCGAGAUGGAGUCUUUCACUAUCCUUUGGUGUCUUGUCGCACAUAUCUCUGUGAUGUGCCUAUCGUUGGAUUAGCACUUCAGUGCCUUUUUGAAGGCCACGACGAAUAUGAGAAGUUGGGUCGUGAUUAAGGCUCUCACACAGUUUUCCUAUAAAUAGAGGGUUUUCCUCUUUCAUUUCUUCACUUUCUAUUCUUUUCUUCUUUCCUUUGUUACCAUAGUGGAAAUAGAAUGGGGGAUUCAUCAAGUGAGAUUAGUGUGGAUGUGUUGUUAGACCCUCCCCCUUCUUUUGCUGCUUCAUCCUUUCAACGUCACCACCAAAGGGAAUCCUCGUCCACCCCUAAUAAGAGGAAUUAAGAUGUUUUCCAAGAGAGCCUUGUUGUGCUUGAUCAGCUCCAAGCUUGACCGAACAGAGAAAGUGGGUAAGAUUCUCGAUGAGCUUGUUAGACGAGUGAUGAGUGUGAAAUUAUACUAUAUUUGUAUUGCAUUAAACUUGUAUUUUAGGACAUAAUUAGGACUUGAUUGUUUUUAGCUUUUAUUUCUUUUUGUUUGGGUUGAGUUGGUGUUUUUGGCUAUGUUGUGCAGUUUAGAUGGAUUGAAGACAAAAAGAAUAGAGAUUAGGUGCAAGAAGAUGGAAUUGGUGUUGAGGCUAUGCGAAGACCAAUUGAAGGAUGAGGAGUCAAUUACUGAGGCAUUGGAAAGAUUAAAUGAGCUAAAUGAAGCUUGCCCUCAUCAUGGCAUUCCACCUUCGAUGUUGGUUCAGAACUUCUACAGUGGACUAGACUUUCCAUCACAACAAUUGUUGGACUCUUCAUUCACCUUAAAUCAUUCUUUGUUUGUAAGUAUUUUGAAGUAACCAUUCUUUGUUUAUCCCACCUUAAAUCAUUCACCUUUGCCCCAUUACAACCAUUUAAAGACCUCUUGAUUUUUGCAUGCAUUCAAAUACAGUAAGUGACAAUUUGGUCUAUAAUCAAGCCUAUGGUAAUUUAAUUUCAUGAAAAUUUGAGCGAAAUACUAUGACCUUUAAACACAUGAGAGUGAUGAGAGAUAGUGAUCCUAAUUUAUGCAGUCGUUAUGGCUCAAAGACUUAGCUUGAAUUAAAUUUGUUUAUGAUUGUCUUGUCUUGACGUCUGGAUUCUUUCAAAACUAACAUGAGAUUGCUUGUUAUUUUGGGUUAUGGGUUCUAUAUCAUCAUUCAUGCAUGAUUGUGAAAGUUAGACAUAAUACUUGCUUGAGGACAAACAAAAGAUAAGCUUGGGGGGAUUUGAUGAGUGUGAAAUUAUGCUAUAUUUGCGUUGCAUUGAACUUGCAUUUUAGGAUAUAACUAGGACUUUAUGAUUGUUUUUAGCUUUUAUUUCUUUCUGUUCGGGUUGAGCGAGUGUUUAUGGCUAUACUGUGCAAUUUAGAUGGAUUAGAGACAAAAAAAGUAGAGAUUGUGUGCAAGAAGAUGGAAUUCGGUGUUGAGGAUAUGCGAAGACCAAUUGAAAGGCCAAAAGAAGUCAUGUAUGUUAUAUUCUAUUCCUAUUUUUUAGAUUUGUUUUGUUGGUCUUAGCCCAAUAUUUUGUAAUUAGGAUAAAUGAGGGUUAUCUCUCAAGGAUUGAACAAUUUACACUUUACAUUACAAUUCUCUAAUUUAGAAUUUGGUAUUCUCUUCCCCAUCAUGAGUGAGUAAUUCCCUUUGUUUCUAGAAUUGGGGCUAUGUCAUUUUAUAUUCAAUAAACAUUUGUUCUUACUUCUAUUCCAUUGAGUAUUAUGAUUUGAAUCAUUAAACCGAGUUUUAUUCGUGUGAGUUGUCUGGUCAGCAAAUUACACAUCUUAGAUACAUUGGGGAAGAACUGAGAGGUGAACCCAACUAUCUGAUCAUUCAAUUAUUCAAACUAGAAUCCUAAUUCACGAGAGUAGUCUUAGGUUUCUAUGAGGGUUCUAGAAUUCACCUUGGGUUGCUACAAAGAGAUUGGAUAGAAAGAUCCAAGUAAAUGAUUUAAUUGAUAAUUGUACCACGAGAGUAGGUGCGA
rnacentral:lncRNA from 1 species